rnacentral:rRNA from 1 species
UACGGAGGGUGCAAACGUUGCUCGGAAUCAUUGGGCGUAAAGCGCACGUAGGCGGACCAUCAAGUCGGAUGUGAAAUCCCUCGGCUUAACUGAGGACGUGCAUUCGAAACUGAUGGCCUUGAGUACGAAAGAGGAUCGCGGAAUUCCCGGUGUAGAGGUGAAAUUCGUAGAUAUCGGGAGGAACACCAGUGGCGAAGGCAGCUCGCUGGGACGGUACUGACGCUGAGACGCGAAAGCGUGGGGAGCGAACAGG